rnacentral:rRNA from 1 species
UCAGGCCUAACACAUGCAAGUCGAGGGGUAGAGGUUGCUUGCAACCUUGAGACCGGCGCACGGGUGCGUAACGCGUAUGCAAUCUAGCUUUUGCAGAGGGAUAGCCCAGAGAAAUUUGGAUUAAUACCUCAUAGUAUGUGAGAAUGGCAUCAUUUUCACAUUAAAGUCACAACGGCAAAAGAUGAGCAUGCGUCCCAUUAGCUAGUUGGUAAGGUAACGGCUUACCAAGGCUACGAUGGGUAGGGGUCCUGAGAGGGAGAUCCCCCACACUGGUACUGAGACACGGACCAGACUCCUACGGGAGGCAGCAGUGAGGAAUAUUGGACAAUGGGCGCAAGCCUGAUAGAGCCAUGCCGCGUGCAGGAUGACGGUCCUAUGGAUAGGAGGCUGCUUUGUACGGGAAGAAACCCUCCUACGGUAGGAGCUG